rnacentral:tRNA from 1 species
GUUCGGGUGGAGAAAUUGGUAUCUCACUUGGCUCUCAACCAAGAGACUGCGGGUUCGAUCCCCGUCCCGAAUGCCA